CCUACGGGAGGCAGCAGUGGGGAAUAUUGCACAAUGGGCGAAACCCUGAUGCAGCGACGCCGCGUGAGGGAAGAAGGAUCUCGGUAUGUUAAGCUCCAUCAGCAGGGAAGAAAAUGACGGUACCUGACUAAGAAGCCCCGGCCAACUAGGUGACGGCAGCCGCGGUAAUACGUAGGGGGCAGGCGUUAUCCGGAGUUACUGGGUGUAAAGGGAGCGUAGACGGCAGCAAAAGUCUGGAGUGAAAUCCCGGGGCUUAACCCCGGAACUGCUUUGGAAACUGGGCGGCUGGAGUGCAGGAGGGGUAAGCGGAAUUCCUGGUGUAGCGGUGAAAUGCGUAGAGAUUAGGAAGAACCCCGAUGGCGAAGGUAGCUUACCGGACUGUAACUGACGUUGAGGCUCGAAAGCGUGGGGAGCAAACAGGAUUAGAUACCCUAGUAGUC
rnacentral:rRNA from 1 species